GUGGAGUUGUUGAGUGGACCAAAUCCUUUGUGGGCAAUCCUAUUAAGAGGUAGUAGUAGUAGUGUGCAGUGGAAUAGAGUGGAGUGGAUUAGUGGAGUUGAGGGGACCUGUUGCUCUGUAGACAAUCAUCUUAGUGAAGUGGUCAUAUGACCAGCCCACAUGGCCAGGACCAGUAUGAACCCUUGUGGGCAGUCACACAGUGGUGGGCUAAGGGGAGACCACACUGACCACAGCACAGAGCACAUCCAAUGAUCAGCACCCACUUGGAGCCAGUCAAAGGACACUCAUGCCUCUCCAGAAGGAAACCCUCAGAGACGUCUGGACAGACGACAGGUCUCAAGAAAGUCAAGAUGUGUCCACUCCACAUAAGAUAAUGCUUUCUAUAAGCCAAAGAAGAAGGCAGAGUCAGCCAACCCAGCCACCAAUGGUGCCGACGCCAAGCCCAAAAAGAGCAAGAACAAGAAGAGCGAAGAACUGUCUGGAGAAGAGAGUCCUGCUGUUCAAAGUACGGACUGCUCUGCACAGUUUAAAUAACAGAAUCUUCAAAUGA
rnacentral:lncRNA from 1 species